rnacentral:rRNA from 1 species
GAUGAACCUUGGCGGCGUGCUUACUACAUGCACCCCAAGCCUCUAGAUCUCCCGCUUGCUCCCUUGACGUUCUCGUCCCUCCGGUGAGUCACACGCGGGUAACCUUCCUAUCAGCCUGCCUUACUUCCCGGUAACCGGGGCUAAUGCCCGAUCACCUUUACAAUCUCAUUCUUCUAUAGUCCAACAUCGUCUUUCUAUCCUCUAAAGAUGGCCCCGCGUCGUAUUAGCUAGUUGGUAAGAUAACGGCUUACCAAGGCAACGAUACGUAACCGACCUGAUAGGGUGAUCGGCCACGCUGGAACUGGAACACGGUCCAGACUCCUACGGGGGGCAGCAGUAGGGAAGCUGCCGCAAUGGGCGAAAGCCUGACGGGGCAGCGCCGCGUGAGUGAUGAAGGUCUUCGGAGCGUAAAACACUGUUAUUAGGGAAGAAAAAAUGUGUAAGUAGCUGGGCACGGCGUGACGGUACCUAAUGAGAAGGCCACGGCUAACGACGUG